rnacentral:misc_RNA from 1 species
GAUGAAGAACGUAGCGAAAUGCGAUACGUAAUGUGAAUUGCAGAAUUCAGUGAAUCAUCGAGUCUUUGAACGCACAUUGCGCCCCCUGGUAUUCCGGGGGGCAUGCCUGUCCGAGCGUCUUUGCUGCCCUCAAGCACGGCUUGUGUGUUGGGCCUCCGUCCUCCUCCCGGGGGACGGGCCCGAAAGGCAGCGGCGGCACCGCGUCCGGUCCUCGAGCGUAUGGGGCUUCGUCACCCGCUCUUGUAGGCCCGGCCGGCGCUUGCCGACACAUCAAUCUUUUUUCCAGGUUGACCUCGGAUCAGGUAGGGAUACCCGCUGAACUUAAGCAUAUCAAUAAGCGGAGGA